GAUGAACGCUGGCUACAGGCUUAACACAUGCAAGUCGAGGGGAAACGACGGGGAAGCUUGCUUCCUCGGGCGUCGACCGGCGCACGGGUGAGUAACGCGUAUCCAACCUGCCUUUGAUUGAGGGAUAACCCGUCGAAAGUCGGCCUAAUACCUCAUGGCAUCGUCUGCGGGCAUCCAACGACGAUUAAAGAUUUCAUCGGUCAGGGAUGGGGAUGCGUCUGAUUAGCUAGUUGGCGGGGUAACGGCCCACCAAGGCGACGAUCAGUAGGGGUUCUGAGAGGAAGGUCCCCCACAUUGGAACUGAGACACGGUCCAAACUCCUACGGGAGGCAGCAGUGAGGAAUAUUGGUCAAUGGGCGGGAGCCUGAACCAGCCAAGUAGCGUGCAGGAAGACGGCCCUAUGGGUUGUAAACUGCUUUUAUGCGGGGAUAAAGUGAGGGACGUGUCCUUCAUUGCAGGUACCGCAUGAAUAAGG
rnacentral:rRNA from 1 species